AUAUUAAUAAGCGGAGGAAAAGAAACUAACAAGGAUUCCCCUAGUAACGGCGAGUGAAGCGGGAAGAGCUCAUCUUUAAAAUCUGAGGGGCAUGCCUCUCCGAAUUGUAGUAUGUAGAAGCGUUUUCGGCAACGGCGCUGGCUCAAGUCUCCUGGAAAGGGGCAUCAGAGAGGGUGACAAUCCCGUCUUUGGCCAGUGCGUCUGAAGCCAUACGAUACGCUCUCAAAGAGUCGAGUUGUUUGGGAAUGCAGCUCUAAAUGGGUGGUAAAUUCCAUCUAAAGCUAAAUAUUGGCGAGAGACCGAUAGCGCACAAGUA
rnacentral:rRNA from 1 species